AUCGCAUUUGAGAAGAUCUUAUUGUCAUUGAGAAGCAUAGAAAGUGUUUUUCUUAUGCGUAAAAUACUUUCAGAGAUAUUGCCACUAAUGUGAGUCAAUCACUUGACCUCUAAACAUUAGCGCAUUGAUAUAUGCGCAGAGCCGGUGUGAGUAGGCCAGUUGCUUUAUUAAUUCAUUGGCCUCUGAACAGCGGGCUUUUCAUGUUCUUCAACUUGUCGUCAAGACGUACAGUUCAGCUCUCGGAUAUACCCUAUGAAAUAUUAAGUUUGGAUAUUGUCAGCGACAUAACUAAGAAGUGAUAAGCUUGCCACCAUUUGUGUUCACACAGAAUCAAAAUGCCUGUUCGGACAGAUCAACGUGACGUUGGAUAUGAUUUCUUUCAAAACAACCAUGAUGAGAAUUUGGAACUUUACCCCACAUCUUCAGCAUCACACCCAAGCGAAGAUAUCUGGAAAAAAUUUGAGCUGAUCCCAACUCCACCAAGUUCUCCUCAAAGAGAAGACUCGGAUUACUGGGAUGACACUGAAGCAAAACGUCAUAAGCUUGUUACAAGUCUUGUUGAUGGCCCAUCAAAUGAAGAUGACUUCUUGUCUCAAAGCCUUGUAUUAGGUGACUUUGAAUUUGCUGGACUAUCUAAGAACCUCCAGGCAAAUGUUAUUAAGGAUUGCAUGUGGACAUGUAAAGAAGACACCCCCUGCCACCCUAAAGACACUAAACUUGCGUCAAAGUUCACCAUAAGAACAUGUCGUAGAGAUUCAGAGUCGAGCAGUAUAAGUACACGAGAUGAUUCAGACUGUGUCGAUCCUUUGGCCGUGUUUCCAUACUCUGUCAGUCGAGAUAUCAGCAGUAGAGACAGUUUGGGAACAGAAACACCUUCUGAUUCAGAAGAGGAAAUAGAUGUAGUGACAGUUGAGAAGAAGAUUCUACCUCCAGUAAAGAAACGCACACACCCAUCCCCGGAGGCUAUUAAACAGGCUUUAGCGGAACAUAGAGAGAUGCACAACUAUACACGCCCCUGUCCCCCCUCUCAGUCGCACAUGAAAGUCAGCCAAGGAAGGAUAACAAUAAAUGGAGUAAAACGCCCCUACUCUUCUGUAUCGAACUCUCAAUCAAAUAAAAAGUUGAAGAGAGACAAUAUUAACAUCAGUGACUUGAAAAGUGCUGUGAAAAGAUUACAUGGUGGCUACAACAGCAAUAGCAGUAGUCGAUCAAGUAGCAGAGCUAGCUCAGACAGUGAGGACUGUGAGCGCAGAUCGCAACAUAAUGUUCUUGAGCGCAAGAGGCGCAACGAUUUAAAAUCCAGUUUUCUAGGACUCCGUGAUAUGAUUCCUAAUCUGACUCAAAGUGAGCGUGCACCAAAAGUGAUCAUAUUAAAAAAGGCUGCAGAGUAUGUAUCUGGCCUUGCUAGGACUGAGUCUAGAUUGAAGGCUGAACUGAGGAGUGAAGAAUCACGUAAAGAUCAGUUACUGAAAAGGUUACAGUUUUUAAAAAGGAACUCUAAUAGCUCUUGGGAUUAUUAAAUAUAACGUGUAGUACUAUUAUCUUAUUAUUAUUAUUAGUGAUGGUGGUGGGAGAUACUGUUUCAGCACUGAUGUUUAUAAGAACUAGGCAGUCAUAUGUAAACAUUUUAAGACCUGGUUGCUUAGUACAUAUUUUUUGUACAUUAUCUAGAUGUUGAAAUUAGUCAUGUUCAUCAAUUGUGUUCAUUGUAAUAGUUAAGUUAACAUCAAAAGUAUGUUCUUUUUUGCGCCAAAAUUAGGCAUUGUGGGUAUCCAUGAGCUUGGUUAGAGAAACUGUGUUCACAUUUAGCUUGUCCGGGAGAUCUGAAGUAAGAUGUUACUUUGGUUAAAUGGAUUAGAUGUUUUAAAAGUUAAGACUAUGUGUUCAUAAUCAUAUUAACCUAAUGGUACUGCAAGCCAGUUAUUUCUUGUGUUCAAGUAAAAUACAUAUUUGUCAUGUAUUGAUGCAAUUCUCAUACCUUGUGUACUACAUUUUUAGUACUUUGUAUUUUUUGUACAGCACAUCUUUGUAAAUAUAUACAGCUACAGAUAUACAUUUAUUUUAUUUUUCAUACUAACCAUUGUAAAUUGAAAAUCUUAAAACUUGAAAGUUUUUUGAGGUUUGUACAUAUGUAUCAUAGCUAUUACUUUUGUAAAGUAAAAUUAUAUAAAAUAUAUUCUAUAUAUACAGUAUAGUUUGAAGAGGAGAUUAAUUUGCCUCCAUAGACUGGUAAAAGGAUAGUCAUAUUUAGUUUAUAUACGAUAUUGUAAUGAUUACUCCAGUGGAGUUACCACUCAGACAUAAUCAAGGAGAGUUAAGAUUAAUUAAGGACAGUAGCCUAGAUUAGAUAAGUAAAAUAAGAACUGUAGCUAUAAUCAAUGUCUCGACAAACAUGCCUAGGUAGGCAAAGUUCUUUUCAUCUUUUUUAUUAUUAUUAAUUUUUGCAUUUUGCAAUUUUCUUUUAUAUUAUAUUCUCUUUUGUCACAUAAGGUGUUGAAGUGUUAUAUUUCACUGCAUCUCAUAGACCUGAUUAUUUAGUUUGUAAAUCACUGUGUAACAACACUAAUCAAGGAAGGAUUAUAUAGCUUAACGUAUGCUUGAAUUGGGGAUUCUAUUACAAUAUAUUCAGUUAUUGCAUACUCUUUUUUAUAUAACUUGAUAAAAUUCUAUCUUGUACAAGUGAGGAAAGUAAAGGCCAAUAAAAUAAAGAAAUUUCUACAUCUUAAAA
rnacentral:misc_RNA from 1 species